rnacentral:misc_RNA from 1 species
CAACAGCAGCGAGCGCCGUCGUCUCGGUAUCCGCCCUCCGCAUCGUCGCGCCUCGGCUCAAGCCACAACCGCGACGUUCCCUUCCACACGGCCCCGCCUGCCUCAGCGGGGCUGGCCUUACCACCGGCAACAGCAGCAGCGCAGCGUGGCAGCUCGCAGCAGCACCCCCUCACGCCAGCCCCUCCACAAGUCUCCCCACAUCCCGCCAGCCGCGGCCGCCAGCCGACGUUGGCGCAGCUGCAGCACACGCCACUUGUCGGCCGCAAUGGUCGGCGCUCCGCUGGAUCGCAAACAGGGUUUAUUAGCAGGACGAGCGCGUCGGGGCACUCUCACGGAUCACCUGCACCCUCGUCGCAGCACAUGCCAGAGUCCCCGGCUUCGGCAGCGGCGCCGUCUUCCUCACUGUCGCCGCAGCCGCAAGUCAGCAGCGACGUCGCUUCCUUGAUGAGCGGCAGCCAUCGACGCCCACCCGCACCGAACACGCCGUGCGGAGUCGAAAACUCGUCGAAGGCCGCGGGCGCCAGGUUAGAGCAUGCCUGCUUUGUGGCGAGGGCCAACUCAUCGCGGCCACUACAGCGACCGCCACCCACUUCGCAGACGCGCCGAUCCGUCGUUUACGUGGAGCCCACGGUGGCAAUCGCAGACGCAAGGCCAGCCCCGCAGUUGCAGCUCGAUACGGACUUGCAGGCGCACUCCACCACCCCACGUGCUGCGGCGUCUGCGUGGAGGACAGGCAACGAUGGGAACGCCGCUGCCGCCGCCUCACCGCAGCAGCAGCUACAGCCGUCGCUCCCGCUGAACUACUACGCGCUAGAGCCGUCUCUGCAACUUGCCCAGCACCGUCACGUACGCCACAUUGUCGCAGGAGACCUCAGCAGCGCGCCUUCGUCGUCGCACCCGCAGCAGCAGCCUGUUAUCGUGUUCGUGCCGCAACCCCGCCCGGCACCGCCACAGCAAGAGCGGUUACCCCGUCUCUACUCGUCCACGACACGACCUGCAGGGAGGCCCUCACGCGGCGCCGUCCAAAACAACAUCUACGCCGGCAUGGCUGCAGAAGACACGAGUAGCGUGGCGAGCGAAGCCACCAGCACGCGCAGCAGCUUCACUCGUCAAGUCUUCCGUGGCGCGACCGCCACAGCGAGUGACAUACCGACGGGCAGCCCGUACGGCGCCAUGCCAACCUACGCGGUCGUGAUGCCGCGCAGAAACCUUACAGCUCCCCAAAAAGCAGGCGCGUCUGCUGCCUCUGUGGGCCAUCCGCCGCCGUCAGCCCCUGCGGAGACAGCGAAGCAGCCGCAACACAACUCCAGAUACCCGCCCAGCAGCAGCCGGCCGUCGCCGCAAGAGAGCCGCGGCCACGCUGCCAGGGAACAGCCGCGACCACCACCACAGUCACCACGAGAGAAGUGGCCAGUAUUGCCACAGCGGACGGAGACUGCCAACUCACAGCCCCCGCCGCGGAUGAGGCUGCCAGCCAACCCAUUUUACUCGGAGGAGAUGAUCCCAGAGCAGCGACGUCAAGACGCGUGGUGCGGCGAUGCUUCCACACGGCAAUCGGGGCACCGCGGCGGUGACUCUGUUCGUGUGCCUUUGCAACGGCAGCUGUCGCUGUCGCACGAGGAGGUCCUGUCCCUCUCCGCCAUGCUCUCCAGUGCAACGGUAGCGGCCCCGAUACCGACGAAGACGGACCCCUACGCGGACCACACCGCGCCAGACGGCGAGCCGCGGCCCCUACACGCCGUUAUGCCGCCUCCCAUCAUACAAUGCCCGCACGCCGCAGCGGAGGAGGAGGGGGCGCCCCGCUUCUCCGUCAGGAAGGCAAUACCACCGCAGCGGGAGCCGGAUGCGGUCCCCCCGCGCCACUCUCCCCCUGCGGAGCACACCCUCCCGCACGGCCGUAGAGCAGCUGACGCCGGCGAAGCAGCAGCGAAGGAAACACGCGAGCAACUGUCUGCCGCCAAGGCGGCGGCGGCGGCGAUGACGGCCGCUGGUGCGCAGUCCUCGAAGAAGCCACAACAACCGCAGCAUGAACCCGACUGCUCGCCGUACGGAGAAAACGUCGAUGAGCUCCUUGAGGCCGAUGAUCGUAUCAUGCAGCCUAGCCGUCCACAAUCGUCCCGGCACGGCGCUGCUGCUCGCUCAAGCCCGAUUCAGAGCAUCCACAGCCUGCAGUCGCCCGCCGUCAAGUGCUUCAGCGAUGCACCGCGCUCGGUGCACACCGUCACCGAGUCCGAGACUACCACGGAGCAGCAGCAGCAGCCAGAACCACAACUGCGCCCAACCUCACUUGGCCGAGUGGCCGUCGCCUCUGCGGAGCGCGAUCGCUGCGCUGUGGUGAAGGCAGAACUGGCCCCACCUCCGUCAGCGCAGCUGCUGCCAACCGUGAUGGACGAUAUCACGGAGCGGGAUGAGGAUGAGCAGCUCAACUCCGUGGACCCUGACCGCAUGAAUAUGACACUCCCUCAGAAGAUGGAUGCGCCCCGUUGCGGCGGCUCGACAGCCGUGCACGGCGCGACCGAAGGCUUGGAGCCGCCGCGGGACGCGGCCGUGGACGCGAUGGGCACGGCAGAGGAGCGCAGAGAAGGCAAGGAGGCGCUCUGCGGUCCGUCGACGGGCGCCGACGACGGUGCCAAGACGCUGCAGGAGGCCGACGACACGAGCAAACCGACGGAGGCAUCCGCCGCGCCGCUCGUGCUCGGGGAGCGCUACGUCUACGUGGAUCCGCUGGAGGAGGCGAGCAUGGACGCGGCAUACAUGCUGGAUACGCUCGAGCAGCAGUACGUCCGCAUCAACGAAGAGACGAGUGAAGAGAUGGAGGACGUCAUGCACGUCGUCGAGCUCAACCGGUGCGACCGGGCCGCCGCGAUGCCGCGCUCUUUUAUGCCGAAGGGGCGGUACCCCGACGUGUUGCCGAUGCUGCGCUACCCUGAGGAUGAGGUGCCUGCGGACGCCUCUGCGGCCACCACGACUGGCAGCCGCUCCCGCCCCGCCUCGUCGCCAUCGGCAGAGAAGCUGAAGUAUUUCCCACUGAGGGAAGCCGCCUACCUAAACCUGUGCGCUACGGUGUGGCUAUCCCGCUUCCACGCGGCGGAAGCGCAAGACCUACUGGCGAGCGACGACGGCACCGCAGCGAGCGGAGAAGGCCACGAAGGGGCACGCCCUUCGGCCGCAGCGGUCAUCUACCACAAUCUUGACCACCCCUCCGCAAACCUGCUGGCGGCGCUCGACGGGCGCGUGUCCGCCUACGUGCAGGCAUUUAUUUCCGAGGCGUGCGCCGGUCGCGACGGCGCCGAUCCCUGCAACUACGAAGCGGCGUGCGUGCGGCUUAGAGACGAAAACAACAUCGGCUGCCUCCCACACGGAGUGUGGGCGGAGGCAGCGCCGCAGACGCUGUCGUUCGCUGACCAUGUGACGAACAUUCUGCUGACGGCCACGGUGCCACACGAGGCCAAGCGGCGCCGCACGGAGGCGGCAAGGAAAACGACAGCGGAAGAGGUGGCAGCGCGUCGCACGUGGCUGUACUUCCUGGGUGCCUCUCCGUGGAACUACGAGGUGGUAGCGGCGAACGAAGCGUACGCAGCGAUGCCGACGGCGGGUGCACGGCUGGCGUACGCCUUCAUGUACAAGGCGCGGACGCGCAACGUGGACGGCGGCCUUGGCUCGUUGAUGUUCUCGAUGUUGAGCCAGCAGGUGCCGGAGGCGGCGUUUGUGGACUGCCUGCUGAUGCAGGAGAAGCUGCGCCUGGCGCUUCUGCACAGCUGCUCGAACAUCGUUGCCUGCUGCGCGCUGCGGCAGCAGGCACUGCGCAAGCCGCGCGUGCCGAGCAAGGAGACACCGUCGGCGUCGGCCUCGGUAUGGACCAGCCCGGUUCUCUCCACAUACCUCACGCUGUAUGAGGACUCCGCGACGCCACCGACGCGGCGGCCGCCGGACGGGGCACCGGAGCUGUUCCGCCUGGAUAGGUCACCGGGCGUCGACGAGGGGGCCAGUGGCAAAGGCGGUCCCAGCCGCACGGCGCUCUGCCAGCACGAGGACAGCCACCCCAAGGGAGAGGCGACGCCGUGCGGUGCGGCCGAGCGCGUCGAUCUCUACAGCGUGGCGGUGCAGCUGAACUACUUCUUUCCCACCAAGACGCAGCGCGGCAUGCAUCAGCUGUGCGCCGCGCUCAUUGAGGAUCUGAUUGCGAUGGAUGCGUUGCCGGUCCCAGAAAAAGUCGUCACGCCGGAGGGGGUGGUCCUCACGGAUCGCACGUCCAUCGUGGACGCGCUGGUUGUGGAGGGGGCGCAGGCGAUGCAGCACAUCAUCAUGACCCUCAGCGCGCGCCGGAAGGAGGUGCAGCCGGAGACGGCUGACAGCUAUCGCACGUUGCGCGGAAGCAUCGACACCGCGGCGGUGCGGGCGGCGAUGGAGAAGCGGCUGAUCCUUUUCGACCCCGCCAUCAUGUGCUUUCUCAGCACCCCGGUGCCCAUCAACGACCUCUUCGAGUACGCCGUGACGGACGGCCCGCCUAGCAUGCAGCCACAGUCGACCGGGCGUAAAAGCUGGCUUGUCGAGGUGCUGCGGCUGCAACACGUGGCGGAGACGGUGCAGUACACAAUGGAGAUGCAAGACGCCAUUUUGGUCGCGAGGCAGCUCAACCACCUCGUUGUGUCGGCCCAGCAGCAGAGGGCGCUGGCCGACAAGCAUGACCCCGGCCAGAAGCACGGCCGCUACUCGACACGGUCUGUCGCUGAGGAACUUCAGAUGGACGCCGUCGUUGUCGGGCAAAGCAUGGACCAGGUCUUGCGCCGAGCCUCCUCCGCCUCGCUGCUUGGAAUGCUCGGCGUAGGAAACGGCGAGCGGACGGCAGCAGAUGAGCUGUCGCUCGAAGACUUGCUUGACCCCAACACGAACCGUGACCGCAGCGACGUGAGCGUGCGCGCCGUCCUCGUCGCCCUCUGCUCCGCUGACCCGGAGAAACCGACGGCGGAGGUGCAGGAGUACUUGCGUCAUCUGCUCGCCCUCUACUUUGAGGUGCGCACACCGGACGGCAACACCGUCGACAGCGACGACACGCAGCAGGUCGCCAUGGCCCGCCUCAUGACGGCUGAGAUGGCGACGUGGGACUGGUUUGGGGACACGAUGCAGAACGGGACGCUGCGCGCCGGCGCCGCACCAGCACACUGCGACAAAAUCCGCGUCAGCGCGGAGGAGCUGGCAUCGCUCUGUCCGCGAGUGCUAGGUCGCCGCGUGGGUGUCGCCAGCACCGUAGUCGCGGAUGCUACCGCGGCCGUCAUCGCCGCCUCGACCGCCGAAGCGGUGGAGCCGGCGCCGCGGGCGCACGAUGAAGGGAAUGAUGACGACUCUGUAUUGGUGGCCGAGUCGGCUCCGCGGCUGCCACACGACCCAAGGCGUUCAUUCGCACAGGAGAUGUAGGAGGGGCUCGGGCGGGGGGCGGGCACUGAAUCUUCGUGGGUAUCGCCAUCACCAUCGCCGUGGCCGUGUGUGGUAGGCGUUGCAGGGGCCGAUGUCGUUGCUACUGCAGGCCUCUGUUCUGCUUGUGGCCUGCCCCAUAUAUAUGUUUUCAUUUUCUCGGAGAAUGCGGCGUGGGGGUGGAGGGGGCGAGGGAGGGUAAUGUCUGUUGGUGUUCGUGCGUGCAUCAGUGCCGCCAGCAGCAGCGACUGCGGCAGCACACCCAAGGUGCCACCUCGUGCCUCCCCCUUCCUCCCUACCUGCUUCCACGUUAUAUUUUCUUAUCGUUCCCCGCGCUGUAUGUGUGUGUGUCUGUGUCCGUGUGUACACAUCCUCGUAGAGAAGUACAGCACAGUCGUCAUCGUCCUUCGACCCGCACCUACACGCUUGGAGAGAGGCGCAUGCGCCGAUGUCUGUGUGUACGCUCCCCAUGAUCUAAGUGGUCUCUCUCUCUGACCGUACCACGCUUGCGUCGCGCUGCUUCAUUGACGAAGGGGAGGCCUACGCAAGGGCGCACGAGAAAAUCUGCUGCACUGCCACCGAACCCCUCGUCCCUUUCUCACCUCUUCUUCUUACGUGGUGACCGCGUCUCCCUUGGGCGUGGCUGUGGGGCUGCAUGGCGCGUCGGUGCACCUGUGUCUAUGAUUGCCUUAG